GACGAACGCUGGCGGCGUGCUUAACACAUGCAAGUCGAACGGACAGGCCCUGCUUUUGUGGGGUGCUCGAGUGGCGAACGGGUGAGUAACACGUGUGUAACCUGCCCUUGACUUUGGGAUAACUUCACGAAACUGGGGCUCAUACCGGAUAGGAUCUCCUGCUGCGUGGUGGGGGAUGGAAAGUUUCGGCGGUUGUGGAUAGACUCGCUGGUUAUCCGCUUGCUGGUCGGGUAGUGGCUUUCCACGGUUUUGACGGGUAGCCGGCCUGAGAGCGUGACCGGCCACCUUAGGCCUGAGAUAGGGACCAGAAGCCUACGGGAGGCAGCAGUGGAGAAUCUUGCGCAAUAGGCGGAAGCCUGAGGCAGCAGUCCCGCGUGCGUGAUGACCGCCUUCGGGUUGUAAACCGCUUUCUACUGUGACGAAGCGUGAUUGACGGUAAUUGGUAAAGAAGCACCGGCUAACUACGUG
rnacentral:rRNA from 1 species